rnacentral:rRNA from 1 species
AUUGAACGCUGGCGGCAGGCCUAACACAUGCAAGUCGAACGAGUGGCGGACGGGUGAGUAAUGUCUGGGAAACUGCCCGAUGGAGGGGGAUAACUACUGGAAACGGUAGCUAAUACCGCAUACCAUCGGAUGUGCCCAGAUGGGAUUAGCUAGUAGGGGGGGUAACGGCUCACCUAGGCGACGAUCCCUAGCUGGUCUGAGAGGAUGACCAGACACACUGGAACGGAGAAAAGGUCCAGACGCCGACGGGAGGCAGCAGGGGGGAAUAUUUGACAAGGGGCGAAAGCCUGAUGCAGCCAUGCCGCGUGUAUGAAGAAGGCCUUCGGGUUGUAAAGUACUUUCAGCGGGGAGGCGUUACUCGCAGAAGAAGCACCGGCUAACUCCGUGCCAGCAGCCGCGGUAAUUC